rnacentral:rRNA from 1 species
GGUUGAUCCUGCCAGUAGCAUAUGCUUGUCUCAAAGAUUAAGCCAUGCAUGUCUAAGUAUAAGCACCUUAUACUGUGAAACUGCGUACAGCUCAUUACAUCAGUUAUGAUUUCCGUGGGAGUGACUACUUAUAUGGAUACCUAUAGUAAUUCUAUAGCUAAUACAUGCGUGGAAUUGGGGGGGUUCUUCCCUCCCAACGUAUUUACUAGCUCUUAAGCCAGCUAUGGGGGUAACCUCAUUCUAGGCGAAUCAUAGUAACCCAACGGACGGCGAAUUCUUUCGCCGCCACCCA